rnacentral:lncRNA from 1 species
GGAUGGUUUUGUGGAUGCCAUGAUGUUUGAUGGGUUGGAUCGACUGCAUAUCAGGUUCCCAAACUUGGUGGCGUGUUUCUUUAGCAUUGAUCAGAGGGAGGAGGCACAGGUUGGCCAGGCGGAGGAGAGCGGCGGAAAGAUGGAGGUGAUGGCAGGGGCGACUCCUCCAGAAUCUCAAGCAGCUUCCUCUUCCCCCUCCCACUCUUUUUGGAAACGGCCAAGUUUGUAAAUGUACCUUGUUUUCUGUGGCAGCAGAACAGAGGCGAACGAACGUCUCCCCUGGGUGCUAUUUUAGCUCAUGUUCAUUUCGCUGUCUUUUCCCUCCGCUCACUGUUGUCGAGUCUGAUGCAUUAACUUGCAAUCUUCUGAAAGCGAGGCUGAAAAAAUGACUGUUUUGACACAAUCUUAAUAGUCAUUUUCACGCAAGAUUACAUUCUCUGCGUAUCGUGAGUCGCUGUGUCAAAAGAGCAGACUAUAAAAUAGGAAAACUAAUAAAUUGGUGUGCGAUUCAGCAAUUUCUAAUUCACUUUUGCUCAUCUAGACCCAAAAACAAUUAUAUUCUAAUUACGGUUUUGUAAAGUACAUUUUUCCCAAUGAUUAUAUAGAGCCAGGACAGACGGAAAUAAAGAAAUGCAUGUGCUGCAAUCAUUCUGAAAUUCAUCAUCGGUUUCUGGCAUGUAUAAUGGACUAUAAAAUAUUCUUAAAACAUAAUUAUAGUAUUUUAUUAUAUAAUGCCACGUUGGCCAUUAGCCUGUGCUCCUACAUUUAUAACCACAUGAAUAAUUAAUUAUCAGCCCUUUUAUCCCAGCUGAAGUUGUUUUUCCCCGGCGUGCAAAUUACACUAGAUUUCAACUAAAGGACCCAAACAGAAGCUAGGUUGAGCUUAUAUGUCUAGAUCUUAUGCAAAUGGCCUAAAUUGAAUCUUGCAAGGGAUGCAGUUAACAGACAGGCCUACAGGUGCACCCCGGGCUGAGAGCUCCUAUCAUGGGCAGGGAGAUCGGACAUGCCCAGGGCUGUGUUGUGAAGGACUCAUCUUUGGAGGUAAGUAUCAAGCAUUGCAGCCCAGUCAUGACCCAUGAAUGCAUGAUGAGCAUUCUCCAAGAAGAGUGGCGGAAGAUAAAUUAAAGGAAUAGGAGACUGUGCAGUCCAUGAUGUAAAUCAGAGGCCAUUAGGAAUUCAUUAAACACUCUCCAGAAUAUAGAGCUGAAAUAUGACUCCAUGCAUGAGAGGGUAUUAAAAGAAAGUUCAUGGGUAGUAUAAAAGACA